GACAGAGGUGCCGAGCGUUAGGCGGAAUCACUGGGCUUAAAGCGUGCGCAGGCGGUUCGCUAAGACAGAUGUGAAAUCCCCGGGCUUAACCUGGGAACUGCAUUUGUGACUGGCGGGCUAGAGUAUGGCAGAGGGGGGUAGAAUUCCACGUGUAGCAGUGAAAUGCGUAGAGAUGUGGAGGAAUACCGAUGGCGAAGGCAGCCCCCUGGGCCAAUACUGACGCUCAUGCACGAAAGCGUGGGGAGCAAACAGG
rnacentral:rRNA from 1 species